ACGGAAGGCAGCAGUGAGGAAUAUUGGUCAAUGGACGCAGGUCUGAACCAGCCAAGUCGCGUGAGGGAUGGCGGUCCUAUGGAUUGUAAACCUCUUUUGUCGGGGAGUAACGUGCGGGACGUGUCCCGUAUUGAGAGUACCCGAAGAAAAAGCAUCGGCUAACUCCGUGCCAGCAGCCGCGGUAAUACGGAGGAUGCGAGCGUUAUCCGGAUUUAUUGGGUUUAAAGGGAGCGCAGGCGGCGCGUCAAGUCAGCGGUAAAAUGUCGGGGCUCAACCCCGGCCGGCCGUUGAAACUGCCGUGCUCGAGUUCGUGCGAGGAGAGCGGAAUGCGUGGUGUAGCGGUGAAAUGCAUAGAUAUCACGCAGAACGCCGAUUGCGAAGGCAGCCCUCCAGCACUGGACUGACGCUGAGGCUCGAAAGCGUGGUAUCGAACAGGAUUAGAUACCCUGGUA
rnacentral:rRNA from 1 species